rnacentral:snRNA from 1 species
GUGCUCACCUCAGCAGCACAAACACCAAAAUUGGAGCCAUACGGAGACUAGCAUGGCCACUGUGUAAAGAUGACAGGCAAAUUCAUGAAGCGUUCGUAUAUUUU